rnacentral:rRNA from 1 species
GACGUAGGGCGCGAGCGUUGUCCGGAUUUAUUGGGCGUAAAGAGCUCGUAGGCGGCUUGUUGCGUCGGCUGUGAAAACCCGUGGCUUAACUGCGGGCUUGCAGCUGAUACGGGCGGGCUAGAGUUCGGUAGGGGAGACUGGAAUUCCUGGUGUAGCGGUGAAAUGCGCAGAUAUCAGGAGGAACACCGAUGGCGAAGGCAGGUCUCUGGGCCACUACUGACGCUGAGAAGCGAAAGCAUGGGGAGCGAACAGG